rnacentral:tRNA from 3 species
GCCGAAGUGGCGGAACUGGCAGACGCGCGCGACUCAAAAUCGCGUUCCUUCGGGAGUGUGGGUUCGAUUCCCACCUUCGGCACCA